rnacentral:misc_RNA from 1 species
CGUGCAUCCCAUACCCUGUGAUCAUAGAGUUCCACGAGAUUAAAUCUCUCUUCUCAAUUUUCUCAAAUACCAUGUACCCUUCUCUGAGACAUCCACACUUAGUGUACAUAUUAACCAAGCCAUUUUCCACCAGAAUGUUGUUGUCCAUCAAUGCUCUAAUCACAUGGCCAUGGAUUUCCCUACCAAGAUGCAGAGCAGGUAAUUCUGCACAAACUGAUAAAAUGGUAGAAAUUGUCACAGCGUUUGCCAGUACUUUAGCAAACUGCAUUCUUCGAAAAAGGUCCAAAGCUUCCCCUCCUCGCCCGUGGGAAGCAAAACCAUCAAUUACGGCACUCCAACUUACCACAUUAGGCCUCAAUGUCGGACAAUCUUCUGAUCUCUCCAGCUGUGAAAAUAUUUCAAGAGCCUCAUCACAUAAACCAGCGUCUGCAUGUGACGUUAUCAAGGCAUUCCAACUCGCUAUACUCUUAUUUUUCAUUUCCAGAAACAAGUUAUUCGCACUAUUUACAUCUCCAUGCUUCCCAUACACACAUAAUAAUGCAUUCUUCACAAAUGAGUAAUCUUCAAAC